AAGAAAAAAUGAAAAGUAACAAAAAUAAAGAAUUCGCCCAUACGGCGCCGUCUAGUGGUGGACCGAGCAACAAGAGUACCAGCAAAGUAAUUGUCAAACCCGCGCCGCCUAAGGUGCACAGUACCGAAAUCACGAAUCCUGGAGAUGUGUCUGAUAUCGUUUCUCACAUCGAGAAUCGAUCAUCCAAUGUCGAUGUUAGGCGCAAUACUAAUGCUGACGAAAAGGGGAAUGGGUGCAGGUUAGGUCUAAACAUAAACAAACAAAGACUGUUUUCAACACAAAGCGCCCGGAGCCUCUCAGGGGACAGAGUGAAAAUAUUUCCAACCUGAAGACAGUAAUGAGAAUUGCAUUCUUGUUCCUGUCCGGUCUAGCACCUGAAGUGACCUGUGAUAAUGUUUCGGAUUUUCCUAAAGCGAAUAACCUACCUGAAAACUGCCGAUGUGAGAAAAUGAAAACAAAAAACCUAAAAUACUGCAGCUCUUUCCGACUAGCAGUGCUGGAGCUGGAGGAUGUACAUACAUAUUUGACAUCUAGCUUAUGGCCAAGAGGAUCAGUUAUAAACCAUUUUCGGAAUCUACAGAACCAAAGCAUGGUGACAGCAAUCCAUCACAGAAAAACAUAAGAAUCCUCAACAUUAAUGUACGUUCAUUGAGGAGGAAGACUGAUGAAAUCGAAGCUUUUGUUGCAGACAGGGACAUUGACAUCAUUUGUCUGACGGAGCACUGGCUGACCAAGGAAGAAUUAGAGGUGAUCCAAAUACAAGGGUAUUCACUUAGUGGUUUCUCCUCGAGAAGUGAGUCAAUUGGUGGUGGCACUGCCUUAUUCACCAAAUAUUUUUUACCUUCCAAAGAUGUCAAUGUGGGUUUUAAUGUUCAAAAAUGUAUGUAAUCGUGUUGUGUAUAUGUCGAAAAGUUGAGGGUUUAUAUCUCAAAUCUCUAUAGAUCUCCUUCAGGCUGUUUUGACACUUUUAGAGAGUUGCUGGAGGGCUUGCUUACAAGGUUGGGGCCUGGUAAGCGAAUGGUGAUAGCAGAGGACUUUAACGUUCAUUUCAAUACCAAUGAGGCUGCUUAUGAACAGCUUAACUUGACUGACUUAACUGACUCACUGACAAACGAAACUUUUAUUUUCUACAGCAAUUGCUCAAAUUGUCCCCCGUUAACUUCAAUACAUUUUGAAAUGCGUUUGAGCAUUAAAUGCGUCUAUUUAAUUAUAAUUAAUGCGUCUAUUUAAAAAAAAACAGAUUUUCAUUUCGAAAUCAUCCGGCGGCAUUCAUAAUUUUAUUUAUCAACUUAUCUCGGGUGCCUACCGUUUGAUCGUACACUAAUGAUUUUAAAUAACCCCAAACACAAAAAUCUAAUGGGUUAAAGUCAGGACUUCGCGCCGGCCAAGCCCAAGAACUUCCACGACCUAUCCACCGAUUUGUACAAUGUUGGUUUAGGUGUAAAAUGGCAAGGAUGGAAAUUUUCUUGCUGAAAAAUCCUAUGAACUGAGGACUUGCUUAGGCCAGUUGCAGUUUCCAAUCGUCUUGUGCUUAUUUCUGGAUUUUCUCCAACACGAACCAGAACGCCUUUCUCUUGAUCUGGAGUUGAAAUUUUCGGACGUCCCAAGACUUAAUAAAACGAAGACUGGAGCCAACUAUUAUGGUCCUAAGGCAUUUAACUUGCCACGUGGUGACAGAGCAUUCAAUAGGGCAGUGCUUAUGGUUCCCCAACUGGCUUUCCGUGGUGGCUCAAUAAUGUUUUGAGGUGGCAUUCCUUUGGAGGCCUGUAGGGACCCUAUGGUAAUUCUAAGUAGAUCAGUAAGAUUUUAGAAAACCAUGUCGUACCUUUUGCACCUCACAUAGGCGACAAUUACUUUAUGGAUGAUAACGCCAGAUCGCACCGAACUCUGAUCGUUUAGUUUUAGUGUGGCCAGCUGAAACGACCCUUUUGAUACAAUUUAUUCGACGACAAGAUCCUACUCCUGAGAACUUGACUGAACUGGAAAGCGCGGUUCUUCAAGAAUGGCACAACAUACCUCAAGAAUUAAUUACAAACCUUUUUUAUGGCAUGUGAGACCAAGGCGUUUGAGGGACGUUAUUGGAGCUGGAGGCGGCAAUACAUGCUAUUAAAUCGGUUAAAGCCGGAAACUUUACCUAAAUUUCAAAAUUUAUUUUUCAUAACUUUUUACCAAGAAUCUGAUAAACUUGUGAUUCAUGUUUUGUUUUAAUUUUUCUU
rnacentral:lncRNA from 1 species